CUUGUUCCUCUCCCCCUUUCCUCGUCUCCCCCUCCCUCUUCUCCUCUGUCCUCAUUCUCCUCUCCAGCUCCCUACUCUUCCCUUCACCGUCUCCCUCCUCUCUCCCAUCCCCUCCUCUCCCCCUCCCUCCUCUCUCCCCCUCCCUCCUCUCUCCCCCUCCCUCCUCUCUCCCCCUCCCUCCUCUCUCCCCCUCCCUCCUCUCUCCUGAAGUUACCCUGAAGUCUCUGGCACAUGUCCACCCCCAAGCCCCCAUCCAGGCCAUUCCUGCAGGAGAUCCUUCUUCCAUGGGGCUCCACCCCCCCACCCCAGUCCAGUCGGCUUCCAGGAUCCUAGGAAGCACAGAGCCAGGAAACCGCUGCCCUAGGAGGCCUCCCAGAGAGCUGCACUGCAGGGUCUGGCUGGGAAGGGCCCUGCAGCCCCGCCUGUGUGUGGGGGGAGGGAAAGUUGCAGAGGAGACUCGGUGCUGCUGGUGGCUGGUGGGAGCCCCAGGGCUGCUGGCCCAGGCCCCGCUUCUGUCCCUCCCCUUUUGGACCAACCGUACCCCUCCCCUGUUGCAGGAAGUCAGGGACCCCAAACGGAGGGACUGGCUGAAGCCACGGCAGAAGAACGUGGAUUGUGAAGAUUUUAUGGACACUUAUUAGUUCCUCAAAUUAAUACUUUUAUAAUUUCUUAUGCCUGUCUUUACUGCAAUCUCUAAACAUAAAUUGUAAAGAUUUCAUGGACACUUAUCACUUCCCCAGUCAAUACCCUUGUGAUUUCCUAUGCCUGUCUUUACUUUAAUCUCUUAAUCCUGUCAGCUGAGGAGGAUGUAUAUCGUUCCAGGACCCUGUAAUAAUUGCAUUAACUGCACAAAUUGUACAGCAUGUGUGUUUGAGCAGUAUGAAAUCUGAGCACCUUGAAAAAAGAACAGGAUAACAGCAAUGUUCAGGGAAUAAGAGAGAUAACCUUAAACUCUGACCGCCGGUGAGCCAGGCAGAACAGAGCCAUAUUUCUCUUCUUUCAAAAGCAAAUGGGAGAAAUAUCGCUGAAUUCUUUUUCUCAGCAUGGGAUAUCCCUGAGAAAGAGAAUGCGCACCUAGGGGUAGGUCUCUGAACUGGCCCCCCCAGGUGCGCCUGUUUCUUAUGGUUGAGGCUGCAGAGAUGAAAUAGACUCCAGUCUCCCAUAGUGCUCCCAGGCUUAUUAGGAAGAGGAAAUUCCCACCUAAUAAAUUUUGGUCAGACCGGUUGAUGUCAAAACCCUGUCUCCUGAUAAGAUGUUAUCAGUGACAGUGGUGCCCAAAACUUCAUUAGCAAUUUUAAUUUUGCCUCGGUCCUGUGGUCCUGCGAUCUUGUCCUGCCUCCACUGGCCUUGUGAUAUUCUAUUACCCUGUUAAGUACUUGCUGUCUGUCACCCACACCUAUUCACACACUCCCUCCCCUUUUGAAACUCCCUAAUAAAAACUUGCUGGUUUUUGCAGCUUGUGGGGCAUCACAGAUCCUACCGACGUGUGAUGUCUCCCCCGGAUGCCCAGCUUUAAAAUUUC